UGUGAAUGUGGUGUCUAUAGUAGCAUAAGUCUAUUCUCCGGAGCAGUCACUUGCGAGGGAAAGAUAAGAAAUGUAAAUAUCUGAGACAAUUUCUUCGGCUAAUGAACCGAUCUGCCAGAACAUGUCCUGUAAGGAGUACAAUGUUUU